ACUCACUGUCAGACACUGCAGAGUGAGAAACAGAUGAUGGUUCUGUGGCAAACGUCCUUUUGCUGAAUAUUCUACCUACGGAAGAAGCAAAGAAGUCUAAGUUCUUUGGAGUAAGAUGCUCUCAAAUGCCUAGGAACACUGAUCUCCUAACUUGUCUUCCUGCUUUGAGUGUCCCUCUGAGGUUAAAGUUCCUGCCUCAGUCUCCAACAAUGGGACAGGGUCUCACCACGUUUACCAUGUUGCCCAGGCUGGUUUCGAACUCAUGGGCUCAAGCAAUUCACAUGCCUUGGCCUCCCAAAGUGCUGGGAUUAUAGGCAUGAGCCACUGCGCCCAGUCUGAUGGCUUUAUUUUUGAUACAGGUAUAUUAAGUUAUCCACUAUGAUUGUGAAUUUGUCUGUAUCUUUUUAUAAUUGUUAGUUUUUCUUUAUAUGUAUUAAAGCCAUGUUGUUAAUGCAUACAAAUUCACAAUUGUUAUAUCUUCUAGGAAAAACUCCUCUCAUAAUGCAGUGUGCUUCUUUAUCACUAGUGAUGAUUUUGCUUUUAAUUCUACUUUAUAUGAUAUUAAUAUUGCUGCACCAAAUUCUCUAUUUGUUAGUAGUUGCCUGUUAUAUCUUUUUCAGUUGCUCCAGGUAUUUUUGCUUUCGGUAUGUCUUUGAUAAACAGCAUUUGUUUGUUUGUUUUAACCAAAUAUGAUCAUCUUCUUUAGAUAGCCUGAGGUUGACCCAUAUACAAUUAUUAUGAUAAUUGAUAUAGCUGGGUUAAUUUAUACACUUUUGUGCUGUGUUUUCAUUGUAUAAUCUUCCCGUCACCACCUCCCCCAACUUUGUUUUUGCUUCUUUUUUUCUCCCUUAUAUUCUUUCUCUAGGAUUGAUGAAAUUAUCUUUAUUCUUUUUAUUUCUCUUCUAAUGGUUUGGAAGCUAUAGAUUGCGUUUCUAUCAUCUUGGUGAUUACUUUCAACAUACAUAUAAAAUGUUAUAUUUCCUGACAAAGUCUAAAGAAAUUUAAUAUCCUCAUCUUUUUAAACAAAGUGAUGAUCUUAGUUGACAUUGGCCCAUUGAAUUCCACCUCUUCUAUCCUCCUUGUAUUUACUGUCUACAUUUUAUUCCCAACUCUUUUAAGCAAACAAAAAUGUUAAUCUUGAAUUGUCAGUAAUUAAUUUAACAACAUCUUUUUAUCUAUUACUUUGUUCAUUAAUGCUUCUUACAUCCCAUAUCAUUCCAGGUUUUCUUUUUUUUGAAAGAACUACUAAAGAACGUUCUGAGUUCUUUAGUAGUGCUUUCAAUAGAAGUUUGUGGGUGGGUUGAAUUUUGGAGGUGGGAGGAACAAUAUUGAGUCUCUCAAUCCAACUGUUAUUUCACUUAACAUCUUCUUAAUAUUUUUCCCUCUUUAUUUCUUUGUGCUUCUUUCUUGGUAAAUUCUUCAAUACUAUUUUCAAAUUCAGUAAUUCUCUUUGAUUUUUCCAGUCAGAUUUUAUCCCAUUUAUUGAGUUUUCGUCUCGAUUAUUACACACAUUUUUUAGUUUCACGUUUUUUUUUAGUAGAGACGGGGUUUCACCGUGUUAACCAGGAUGGUCUCGAUGUCCUGACCUCGUGAUCUGCCUGCCUUGGCCUCCCAAAGUGCUGGGAUUACAGGCAUGAGCCACCGUGCCCGGCCUAGUUUCAGGUUUUAAAAUUGGUUCUUUAUAUCCAUUUAUCUUUGAUUUCUACCCACUUUUAAAUUUCACAAAACAUUUUAUGGUUAUUAUUUUUUCUUUUAUUUCUGAAUAAGUUACACAUACUUAUUUUAAAUUCAUUUUGAGAAUGUUUAAUUUUUAUUUUUUCAAGAAUUAAUUCUCCACACUUUAUUGACUUGCUUUCUUAAAGUGGUUUUUCUUUAUGUGCUUUAUUAUUUCCCCUCUCUCAUCAUGCACUCUUUUCUCGUGGUUUUGCAGCACCUCCACCCAACUCUUGGCACUCCGAUGAUAGAACAGGCCUUAUGUCAACAGCCAAGGGCUUCCAUUCUUGGGGCAAUUUCACACAUUUAGCUAUUGAAUCAGCAGGUGCCCUGACAUAGGUUCUGUCUCCACGGCCUUCUCUGCUCCUUCUGGCCACACUGGCUACACAGCUACUUAGCUUUUCUUGCAUUAACUCUUUUAAACAAACAAACAAAAAGCUUUCUUUUAAUUGCCAGUAUUAAAUUAGAUAUAUACAAGCUAUAGCCCAGUCAUGUCUUCUUCUCAGUUUCUUUUCAUGGUAAGAAACCCCACCUCUUUGCUGCUGUCACUCUUACUAUCCAGUAGGGCUCAAUGUGCUGUAGGUCCUUUCUACCCCACAGAAAUCCAAGUUCUGGCCAACUCUGAGCAUUUCUAGAUUCAAAAUCCAGUGGGUUGGUGGCCUCAGCCUGCACUUAUGGCUAGAAGCUUCUAUUUUGACCUUUGUCUACAUAGAUGUUUGUUUUUGAGCAUGGCUAUCUUUGGAGUAUGUGCAUGUGUGUGUGCGCAUGCAUGUGCGCUGUAUUUGGAGCAAUUUAAAACUUGAACUCAUAUUACCAUCUUGAAAAGAAGCAAAGAGCAGAGUCUCUCAAUUAAAGUGGCUUCAUUCUGUUUUGACAUUUAUAAAAGUCUUAGGUAUCUCGUUUUUGUACAUAAAUCCUUUUAUACUAUUUGCAAUUUCAAAAUACUAUAAAUGAAAUUAUGACUGCCUUGACAGGGAGGUUAAAUUCUUUCCACAGACUUUUAAAAAAUUGCACAUGCUACCCCCACCCCUACUCUUCCCAAUUCCUAGGUAUCCUACUUUCCCAGGUUCAAAACCACUGUCCUAAGAGGAAAUGUGCUGCUCUAAUCAGAUCAGCUUGAGAAAACUCACUCAGAGAGUAGGAGAGCUAACAAUCAGGGAACCUGUGUGACUAGAGGAAGACAGGGAUGCCUGGAGAAAACAACCUGACCUGCCCGCACAGAGGGACCCUUGUUCCAGAAACCAGGAGAGGCAGCUGAUGGGCCCACACAGUCAGCACUUACUCUGGUCAAUUUGUUCUCAAAUUCUAACCAUGGGAAUAAACACUACUUUCGGUGAAAACAUUCCUUGUAUUUCACAAACAACUUCCUGACAACAUUUACAGAAAUCAAAAUAAAAGAACAUCAAAACUCAUUUAUUUACCCAGUAGGUAAAUAGAUGAAGAAUAAGAACAGGUGGUUCUCAUAAGAGGAAAUAAAAAGUGAUCUAACAUACACACCUGUUAUCCUUUAUUGUAAUCAAAUAAAUAAAAAUUAAUGAAACAUUUUAUAUCUAGGAAGAAUUUUUUAAAAUAAUACUCAAGUAUAAGGUUGCUAUUAAACUAGUAUAUUCAUACUUACUGCUACAUUGGAAAUUGGCACAACUGUUUGGAAAAAUAACAUAGCAAUAUGUAUUGGGAGCUAUAAAAAUGGUUUUUAUCUUUUAGCCAGUAAUCCAAACUCCUAGGAAUUUAUCUUAAGAAAACAUCAAAAGGAAAAAGUGUUCACACAGCAUUAUUUACAAAAGUGUAACUAAAUGUUGAAGUGGACAAACAGGCAGUAAGUUUCCCCCAACAGUUUUAACAGCUUUAUUAAAGCAUAAUUGAUGGGCAAUAAGGUACACAUAAAGUGUUUAAUUUGUUAAGUUUUGACCUAUGUGUACAUCCAAGAAACCGUCACCACAAUCAAAUGAACAUAAUCAUCCUCCAACAUUUUUAAUUGAGCAGAAAACAGUUAGGGCCAGAUACUUGCUAAAUGAGGCUACCCCAGCCAUCACCCACACCCACUCCCAGGCACCAGCAGACCACCCAGGGACAGGAAUUGGAAUCAUUGGGAGUACAGUGUUCCUGCUGAGGAGGUUUGCCCUCCCCUCUUUCUUAUGGUGUUCAAGAAACUGGGACUCCAAAAAAUAGAGACUAAAGGUGACUUUUAGGCAAGAGGAGCCCAGCAGCCACCAGCUGACUGGGUAGGUACCAGGCUUCAGUCUCUGCAGGCCCACUUUGAAGAUGGCUACCUGGCUGAAGAUUUCUGAGGGUGGGAAUUUGCCAGGGCAGCUCACACCAGCAGCAAGAAGGGAUCAUGGUGUAGCUGUUCUUGAGUAAAAGAUGGCACUCCACCCUCCAGUCCCCUGUGGCCCUUGCAGGGUAUGGAGGAGAAACCAGUAGCUUUCCUGGCUCACAUGAGGGAGCUGAGGAGUAAAGAGGGAGGCAGAAACUACGGUGCCCUGGCCAAGGGAAGUAAUGUCCUACCGAGAUAGGGGGUUGAGGGUGUGCGUCAACGGCAUGGCUUAAAAGGGAUGCCGCUGUUACUUUCUGAGAGGGUCCUCAGUGACAAAGGGACCAGAAACACAUGCCCAGAAAAUCACAUGAGACAAAGACAAUGUCAGCAGAACACACCAACAGCCAACCAGAGUGACCAGUAGAAAGCUCAGGGCCACUGCCCACCACUGACGGGUGACAGUAGGUAGCUCAACCUUCCCCAUUCCUUUAUUUCUUUAUUUUUUUAUUUUAAGACACAGAGUCUUGCCCAGGCUGGAGCACAGUGGUGUGAUCAUAGUCCACUGCAGCCUCAAACUCCUGGGCUCAAGUGAUCCUUCCACCUCGGCCUUCUAAGUGGCUGGGACUACAGGUGUGUGCCACCAUAUCUGGCUAAUUUUUAUUUUUUUAUUUUUUAGAGAUAGGGGUCUCACUAUGUUGCCCAGGCUGGUCUAUAAUCUCUGCUCUCAAGCAGUCCUUCUGCCUUGGCUUCCUAAAGCAUUGGGAUUACAGGCAUGAACCACCGAACCCGACAGCUUCCCUUUUUACUCCAAUUUCUCCUCCUCCCCACCCAACCCUCUGGUGAUAGAGGAGUAAAAGCCAAAACAUAUUCCCUCCCAACUACAGGUUUCAAAGACCAUGAUACAGCCAGAGAGAGAAGGGAAAAGAGAAAAUGAGAUUAGAUUUUAAACUGGACCAGAUAGAACUUUUAAUAAUGAGAUAUGACUUUAAAGCUAUGGGAUCAGCCCAAGAUGUCACUGAAGGACAGGCAAGGGAGGUGGUAGUUGGAAGAAAAUAGAUUGCUUAUGCCUGUACUUCACUGAGUUUAGGAAAUUCACUAUACCAGAGAUAAUCACAAAAUUAAAAGGAAAGUGUAGCAUAUCAACUCAAUCCAUUACACAACAUGUAAAAAUAUAAUUAUUAAGCACUAUGCAGAAAAAUGGAGUGUGUUUACACACUAUCAUCCUAAAUAAUAACGAUUACUUCAAAACAGAUAAAAAUGCAUAACAAUGCACAACUAUUAAAACAGGUAUGUAUGGACAAAAUCUUAGAGUAAGAAAAAUAAAAGUCAUUUUGUUAAUGUGGUAUGAUUAUUGUUUUUAAAUUACUUUUAAGUUUUCACAUUUCUUUUAUAAUAUAGAAAAGUGGAAAAAUCUAAAACCCUCCUGUCUUACUAUUAAGAAAAGUAUUUGUAUUUCCCAUGUUCUUUUCUUUUUUUGUUUGUUUUGAUCCAGUACUAUUUAUGGAAACAUCGCCCUUUCCCCACUGCACUGUAAACUUUAUCAUAAAUUAAGUGACUGUGUAAGUGCUGGGUUUGUUUCUGGACUUGCCAACAGAUUCCACUGGACAAUUUCUCAUUUCUUGUGAGAAUAGCAAGCUGUUUUAAAUUAUUAUAUCCGGCCGGGCACGGUGGCUCACGCCUGUAAUCCCAGCACUUUGGGAGGCCAAGGCGGGUGGAUCACGAGUUCAGGAGAUCGAGACCAUCCUGGCUAACACAGUGAAACCCCGUCUCUAUUAAAAAAUCCAAAAAAAAUUAUUAUAUCCUUAUAAUAAUUCUUGACAUUAGGGGCUUAAGCUUUAUUGUGAUUAUUUCUUUUCUUCCUCUUCUUUCUCCUCCUUUUCCUUCUUCUUCAGCUCCCAAAUCUGUUUUGUUAUUUAGAUUUGAUAUCAUUUCUAGAAUCAGCUUGUGAAUUGCAACAAACAACUACUAUUAUUUUGUUUGGAGUUCCAUGAAUCUAUACAUCAAUUUGGAGAGAAUUGACAUCUUUCCAAUACCAAGUCUUCUAAUAUAUGAUUUCCCUUGUUCUUUUCUCUUUGAUGCCCUGACAAAUAAUUUUGAGCACUUAUCUGCCAAGUUGAGGCUGUGCCAGAUGUUGUGGACACAGCCCAGAGCAGAGCUGGUGGCCUCACUGCCCUAACAUGUACAAACCUGCAGGGAUGCAAGGUGCCCAGACUGUGCAAAGCAAUGGCAGCUGCAUGGAGUCCAGAGAGAGCACCUGGAGGCCUGGAAGGCUUCCAAAAGAAAGUGAGUUUGCACUCCUCUGAGAUACAAGACAAGUAUUUGGAAGAUGCAGGAUUUUACUGAAGUUCUCAUGGAAGGCUUUGGGCCCACUGAUCCCAUCCAUGGGCAUUUUGUCCCCUCCACAAUCCAGCUGAGGGCUGGACUUCCCUGGGACCAUUCUCAGGGGUCACAGGCAUAACCUGUCCAUGCAUUAAAGGUUGGCGCAGAAACUUGGGGCACCUCCAGCCAUUAAUUCAGAUUCAUCUGUUUCAACGUAUUCCCAUCCACCCACAGACUACUGGGGGCCACCCAGAGGCCUGAGUUUCCACCAGUUUCUCACAUGAGAGAAAGCUGAAGGAAAAGGUAUGAAGGCGGAUUUCACUGUUGACAGGUUGUCUUUCAAGUGUGGGUCCUGGCGUUUAUGAGGCAAUGAUGAGACACCUAGAAAGAAGCACAUCUCUGAGACAUGACAGUUCAGUCCCAAAGGCCAUUAAUAGAGGGCCAGCUCAUCAACACAGCUGCAGAAACAGAGCACAGCCAGCCUCGCAGCCCCACACGCUGAAGCCCCCGCUGCAGCAUUCCAUCUACUCUAGCGCCCAUGCAAAUUGAAAACCUAAAAUAGUUCACUCCCCAUAGCCACUGGCUUUGAAGAAUCUCUUUUGUCUCCAUGAAAUAGCUCCAGGAGACAGAACCCAGAGAAAAACUUUUUGAAGUGAACUUUUUCCUUAUAAUUUUAUUUAAAUUUGAAUAUUUUUGUAGAAAUAAUAAAGUUAUCCACUAAUUAUCUGUGUGACAC
rnacentral:lncRNA from 1 species